CAGUAGCCACGGUAAAACGAAGGGUGCAAGCGUUACUCGGAAUUACUGGGCGUAAAGCGUGCGUAGGUGGUGGUUUAAGUCCGUUGUGAAAGCCCUGGGCUCAACCUGGGAAUUGCAGUGGAUACUGGGUCACUAGAGUGUGGUAGAGGAUAGUGGAAUUUCCGGUGUAGCAGUGAAAUGCGUAGAGAUCGGAAGGAACAUCUGUGGCGAAGGCGACUAUCUGGGCCAACACUGACACUGAGGCACGAAAGCGUGGGGAGCAAACAGGAUUAGAUACCCCUGUAGUCCCUGUCUCUUAUAC
rnacentral:rRNA from 1 species